AGACAACCAUGGCUGAGCGCAUGCCCGCGUUCAACGGUGAUAAAAGGAAUUCAUAGAGAAAGCGAACUUAACGAUAUCCUAGUCUAGAGUAGAGCGGUCCAAGCAGCCACAACUAAAAAUCUUCCCUCGAACCUGUCAAGGGAACAGAAGAAGAUGCUUUUCUAAAGACUGGUACAACACAUAUAAAUGGCUUGAACUGAGUCUGGUAACCAGAGUUAGAGACCAUGGAUCUUUGCCGGGAAGUUAUUUUUGUAAGAGUAAUUAUUAUUUUUGUUGCAGACUAAGUAAAGGUAUAACUGUUUCUCACACGUACAGUAUAACCUUGUAGUCAAAAUAUGACUGUUGUUCCCUGUUUUCCCUGAAAUGUCUGUUACAUAAAAUAUGUGCUUCUUCCUGUAAUAUUUUGUCCUUGCUUUUCCAAAA